CAGUCGAACGAAGCACCUUUUAAGAUUCUUCGGAUGAUUGAUCGGUGACUGAGCGGUGGACGGGUGAGUAACGCGUGGGUAACCUGCCCUGUACAGGGGGAUAACAGUUGGAAACGGCUGCUAAUACCGCAUAAGCGCACGAGAGGACAUCCUCUUGUGUGAAAAACUCCGGUGGUACAGGAUGGGCCCGCGUCUGAUUAGCUGGUUGGCAGGGUAACGGCCUACCAAGGCGACGAUCAGUAGCCGGUCUGAGAGGAUGAACGGCCACAUUGGAACUGAGACACGGUCCAAACUCCUACGGGAGGCAGCAGUGGGGAAUAUUGCACAAUGGGGGAAACCCUGAUGCAGCAACGCCGCGUGAGUGAAGAAGUAUUUCGGUAUGUAAAGCUCUAUCAGCAGGGAAGAAAAUGACGGUACCUGACUAAGAAGCCCCGGCUAACUACGUGCCAGCAGCCGCGGUAAUACGUAGGGGGCAAGCGUUAUCCGGAUUUACUGGGUGUAAAGGGAGCGUAGACGGCGAGGCAAGUCUGAUGUGAAAACCCGGGGCUCAACCCCGUGACUGCAUUGGAAACUGUUUUGCUUGAGUGCCGGAGAGGUAAGCGGAAUUCCUAGUGUAGCGGUGAAAUGCGUAGAUAUUAGGAGGAACACCAGUGGCGAAGGCGGCUUACUGGACGGCAACUGACGUUGAGGCUCGAAAGCGUGGGGAGCAAACAGGAUUAGAUACCCUGGUAGUCCACGCCGUANACGAUGAAUACU
rnacentral:rRNA from 1 species